UGCAGCCUUGGUGAGCAUAAAACUGACCCCAACUCUUAAACAGUAGUGUAUGUUAUUUUAUCAGGCUAGAUUUUAUUCAGUUUGAUCCCAUUGUUUUUAAUCAGUUAUUUGUCUCAUUCAUAAAGAGAGCACCGUAAUGUAGUAAAUAAGUAGUCUUUUAUAAUGUAAUUUACUGCACAGAGGAACCAGUAUCGCCUCUAUCAAUUUAUCCUGGGUUGUAUUUUUAAAUUUAUGCAACACAUUUCCCAUAUGUAUCAAUUGUAAGUAUACAAAACACAGUAACCUACAGACGUCAUUUUGCAUUUCAGAAUCCACUUUGACGAGUCGUAUUAACCCUGUUUAACCCACCUUCUUUUCACUGCCCUAAUUAUCUGUCCAUAUCACAUUUUUCUCAAUUCUGCAUUCGUGUAAACAUGCUGUUUUCCCAUUUGUAAUAAUACAUAUCGUUCAUGUUUACAUUUGAAUUACUGAUUAUUUCCAUGGCAACUCAAAGGCAGCUUCAGUGGAACUUGGGCACUGUACAGAGGACAUUAGGCAGUGCCUCAUGACCCUGUGGAUUUAUUACAAGCACUCAAAUGUGACUCCAUGGAAGAUUAUAUUCAUUGUUAAUUAAGUGAAUUAUUUAUCUCUAAUAAUUUUAAGUCUUGUCAUAGUAUAUGUAUUUCCCAAUCAAAGAAAUGUUUGUAAAUCAGUUCACAUUAUUUAUUUAUGAAGCAAAAAAUUAUUACAAAAAAACUUUUAAUUGUAAUCAGAAAGAAUUAGGAGAUUGUAUGUUUGUUAAUUAACUCACAAUGCUCUUGUGAACAUAUCUUUUAUUAUUGUAAUUGCAAAACGAUGUUUGUCUUAACAUUAUGAAAUCCUUUCUAACCCUCUGCUAUGAAUCAACUGAAAAGAAUAACCUAUUGUAGAUCCACAUCUAACCUGCCUACCGAUAUACUGACUUUUGUAUGUGAAAGUUAAGCAAUAGCUUUUAAUCCCGGCAUUUUUUAUCGAUUCCAUGAGGAGACCGAAGACCGGGUCUGUCUGUUUAAAUGUGUCUGCGUGCAGGGUUAAUCACGUACGGAUCUGAGGACAGAAAUGUGCUUCUCUUUCAUGGGUUAUUUGUUGUUUUCACUAUACUCAAUGGCAGAGUUAGUCAGGGUAUAUAGAGGAACUGCACGCAAUGCCUGAGAAAAGAGCAUUAACCUAUGUAUUUUUGUUCGUCAUACCCGCAUGAGGGACCUCAAUGUGCCAUACCCAUUCUUUUCAAAACUACUAAAUUCUAUCCUUUAUUUUUGUUCAUGAAAAAUUAAAAACCUUGUGUGUCAUGUUGGACUGUAAAUACACUUCAAAUGACAUAUUUGAUCAGACAAAUACAACGAAAGAUCAUU